rnacentral:lncRNA from 12 species
CAGCAGGAAAGCACAUUUCAAGAAUGCACACUCCAGCAUGGUGAAAGCUCUCAUUGUACCAUACUUGUAGGUACUCCAGAGCUGCCUUGUAAUCCCUGAAUCCUACUGAACUCACACCCUGGUGAUGUAUCAGUGUCAAAGGGAUGCAACUGGUAAUUCUGCCUGGCUGUUAAACUGCCUCGUGUCACCCUGUUUCCAAUGGCUGCUGACAAGGGCCACUGUGAGACCUGUAAACCACUGCAGUGCAGCCCAAGCCCUGAGCCUGUGUGAAGAUUUAGACAUGCCCAAGGGAUUUAGGGAUGUCCAAGCCUGGCAGGGGUGGGAAAACUGA